AACGAACGCUGGCGGCAUGCCUAACACAUGCAAGUCGAACGAGACCUUCGGGUCUAGUGGCGCACGGGUGCGUAACGCGUGGGAACCUGCCCUUAGGUUCGGAAUAACUCCCCGAAAGGGGUGCUAAUACCGGAUAAUGUCUUCGGACCAAAGAUUUAUCGCCUUUGGAUGGGCCCGCGUUGGAUUAGCGAGUUGGUAGGGUAAAAGCCUACCAAGGCGACGAUCCAUAGCUGGUCUGUGAGGAUGAUCAGCCACACUGGGACUGAGACACGGCCCAGACUCCUACGGGAGGCAGCAGUGGGGAAUAUUGGACAAUGGGCGAAAGCCUGAUCCAGCAAUGCCGCGUGAGUGAUGAAGGCCUUAGGGUUGUAAAGCUCUUUUACCCGGGAUGAUAAUGACAGUACCGGGAGAAUAAGCUCCGGCUAACUCCGUG
rnacentral:rRNA from 1 species